rnacentral:rRNA from 1 species
CCCGCAGAUGAACGCUGGGGGCGUGCUUAACACAUGCAAGUUGAACGAUGAUCCCGAGCUUGCAGCGGGGAUUAGUGGCGAACGGGUGAGUAACACGUGAGUAACCUGCCCUUAACUUUGGGAUAAGCCUGGGAAACUGGGUUUAAUACCGGAUAUGACUGACUGCCGCAUGGUGGUUGGUGGAAAGCUUUAUUGUGGUUUUGGAUGGACUCGCGGCCUAUCAGCUUGUUGGUGAGGUAAUGGCUUACCAAGGCGACGACGGGUAGCCGGCCUGAGAGGGUGACCGGCCACACUGGGACUGAGACACGGCCCAGACUCCUACGGGAGGCAGCAGUGGGGAAUAUUGCACAAUGGGCGCAAGCCUGAUGCAGCGACGCCGCGUGAGGGAUGACGGCCUUCGGGUUGUAAACCUCUUUCAGUAGGGAAGAAGCGAAAGUGACGGUACCUGCAGAAGAAGCGCCGGCUAACUACGUGCCAGCAGCCGCGGUAAUACGUAGGGCGCAAGCGUUAUCCGGAAUUAUUGGGCGUAAAGAGCUCGUAGGCGGUUUGUCGCGUCUGCCGUGAAAGUCCGGGGCUCAACUCCGGAUCUGCGGUGGGUACGGGCAGACUAGAGUGAUGUAGGGGAGACUGGAAUUCCUGGUGUAGCGGUGAAAUGCGCAGAUAUCAGGAGGAACACCGAUGGCGAAGGCAGGUCUCUGGGCAUUAACUGACGCUGAGGAGCGAAAGCAUGGGGAGCGAACAGGAUUAGAUACCCUGGUAGUCCAUGCCGUAAACGUUGGGCACUAGGUGUGGAGACAUUCCACGUUCUCCGCGCCGU